UACGUAGGUGGCAAGCGUUGUCCGGAUUUAUUGGGUUUAAAGGGUGCGUAGGCGGUUUUUUAAGUCAGUGGUGAAAUACAGCCGCUUAACGGUUGAGGUGCCAUUGAUACUGGGAAGCUUGAGUACAGACGAGGUAGGCGGAAUUGACGGUGUAGCGGUGAAAUGCAUAGAUAUCGUCAAGAACACCGAUAGCGAAGGCAGCUUACUAGACUGUAACUGACGCUGAUGCACGAAAGUGUGGGGAUCAAACAGG
rnacentral:rRNA from 1 species